UGGAAGGGACGCUGCGAAGGCUUCUGCGUGACCUUUGGCCGCUGGGUUUCCGGCGCAGGAGUUAAGAACGCUCGUCUGUACUGGAAUGUUGUGGGUGGGCGUCUUCUGGUGCUCCGAACUUCCUCCUGCAGUAGAAACGAGUUCUCUUCUGAACCUCACUGUACUUGGAGCUGCUGUAUUUUGCCAGUUCACAUCUUCGUCUAAUUCUUAUCGGCAGACAUAACAUCUUUGUUUGUAUGUGGUGCUGAGGAUCGAACCCGGGCCGCACGCAUGCCAGGCAAGCGCACUACCACUUGAGCCACAUCCCCAGCCCCAAUACAUGUAUUAUUGAAAAAUACUAAAAGUGCAGUUCACUUUUAUUAACAAAACAAAUCAAAUGACAAUGAAAUAAAUUGUCUCAAAAAGAAUGAAAGCAAGACAGGAAGAAGCUUCAUAAGGUAACAUAAGAUGAAUCUUACGCUUUAUGUGAAAUUUUUAAUAAAGUACCUUAUUUGCUCCAAACUGCA